rnacentral:rRNA from 1 species
GACGAACGCUGGCGGCGUGCCUAAUACAUGCAAGUAGAACGCACAGUUUAUACCGUAGCUUGCUACACCAUAGACUGUGAGUUGCGAACGGGUGAGUAACGCGUAGGUAACCUGCCUGGUAGCGGGGGAUAACUAUUGGAAACGAUAGCUAAUACCGCAUCAUAUUAAUUAUUGCAUGAUAAUUAAUUGAAAGGUGCAAUUGCACCACUACCAGAUGGACCUGCGUUGUAUUAGCUAGUAGGUGAGGUAACGGCUCACCUAGGCGACGAUACAUAGCCGACCUGGGAGGGUGAUCGGCCAAACUGGGACUGAGACACGGCCCAGACUCCUACGGGAGGCAGCAGUAGGGAAUCUUCGGCAAUGGACGAAAGUCUGACCGAGCAACGCCGCGUGAGUGAAGAAGGUUUUCGGAUCGUAAAGCUCUGUUGUAAGAGAAGAACGAGUGUGAGAGUGGAAAGUUCACACUGUGACGGUAUCUUACCAGAAAGGGACGGCUAACUACGUG